rnacentral:lncRNA from 1 species
CGAAUCCAAGUCCGAAGCUGUGAAGCAUAUCAGCAAAGAGUAGCAUAUUAUGUAUUGUAAUUGUAUGUGGUAGUAGGCUUAUUUGGGUUGUAGUAUAAUGUAACAAUUGUAAUAGACUAAUGUAGUGUUGUUUUGGACAAAUUCCAUUUGAUCUUUGGAUUCUUCAAAAUAAUGAUUUUGUAUGUGAUUUGAAUACCCCGGAAAUGGUAACCUGGCAAAGGGGUUCAAGUUAUAAUGGUUGUUUGACAUAUUUUGAAA